ACCCUCUAGUUCCAUCCACGUAGUCAAAAAUGGCAAGAUUUCAUCCAAGAAUGUUUUCUAAACUGCAGCCUAUACAGCAUUUAGCUGUAAUGAGGUGGAUUAUAUCUAUCUUCCAUUGCUAGGAAUGUAGAUAGAUACCCAUGUCCCUGGGGCUAAUUUUCCUCCUAAUUCUUUAAUAGUCCCUUUUUAUUGCGAAAGAGUUUUCUAAAUUAGUAGGAUAUCCUUGUAUCAAUGUUACUUGGGAAACUUUAAGAACAUAAUGGCAUACUGUAGUUAUUUUUAUUUACAAAAGUGUUGACAUGGCCAGUGUAGCUUAUGGGCAAUUGCCUCUGGCUUAGGCCUAGAGACAGAGACUGCUGAUAGGGUUUUGCUCUCUUUGGCAAUCCCUGGCUUGCUUAUUAAUGGGAUUAGGUUUCAUAAAGGAGCUAGUGUUUACAAUAAAUAGGUUAGUGCCUCCAAAUGUGGGUUUAUAUUCUGUAAGUCUAUUUACUUAAAGGUUUGGUUGUUUCUAUUUCUCUAAGACUGUAUGUAGUUUUUGAGGUUUCUAUUUGGAUUUCUAUUUUUAUAACUUGUUUUAAAGGGUGGUGGUCUAAAUGGUUUCAGAGGCUAAUAGGACCUUAUAACUGUAGAUCUAUAUGGUCUAUUUUGAUUUGAUAUAUUGUAUCACCCUGUUUUGUCUGUGUGUGUGUGUGUGUGUGUGUGUGUGUGUGUGUAAGCCAUAGUCUUUAUCUUGACUUAGUUCCUCAGUUGUUCCUAUCAAGCCAAUCAGUCCUGUGUUUCUGGCACCUGCAAAGACUGUGAAUAAUCCUGCUCUGUCCUGCAGGGUGCAGCUUUUAGACUGACCUUUUAAAUUUGUUCUGUUGCUUCCAUAAAUAAUGGUGAGGGUAUCUGCCCCAUAUCAUUAAUCAUAGUUAAUAGCCAUCAUUUUAUUAUUAAUAGUUUCCCCUGCUGUUUUCCAUAGAAAUGUUUUAGGGAACGUAUAUUAGGUAUAGGCCAUUUUAAUCUCUAGGUUGCUGCUCCCUAAGUAUCUUUGUAAAUUAGUAUUAUUUUCUCCAAAUGCUCUAAGGUGUUGUUUCAAUUUAGCGUCAGUGGUAAUGAGUCCAAGUUGCACAAUCUCUGUUCCAAUAAGGACCAUGUUUUGUUUUUCUUUGGACCAUAAAUCUAAUAACUGCUGAGCUUGUGUCCAUUUCAAUUUGUUAGAAUUCCAUUCUAAUGUUUGUCAUUUCUUGUCUAAGCUCGCUCUUCAGUGUCUCUGAUUGGUUCCAUAUUCUCAUCUGUUUUAGUUUUGUCUGUUUUCACAGGCCUGGCUUUUUAGUUAAAUUUACCAGGGUCAAAGGGGUUAAAAUAAUCCUUUUCCUGGGGUGUGGAUUAGUGCCCUUAAGAGAAAAGGGACUGGUUUCUUCCUGCUCUGGGGAUUACUUUCUAUGCCAACACUUUCCUCUCUACAUCUGUUACUCAAUGCUCCUAAUAAGAGCACUGGAAUGUUUUCCUCAGUUCUUUUCAAUAUAGGCUAGAACUCACUGAAAUGGGUGAUCAGGCCAACACCUGGAGUUUAAGUUUUAUAGGUCUCCAGGGAUCUUUGCAGUUAAAUAUCACUCAAAUCAUCUCGAGCAAUUUUGUAGGGUGAAUGAGUGAGGCAUAGUUACCAUUGUCUUUUUUGUUGCCUGAUGGGGUCCCAUGCUUCUCUAGGAACCAGGACCUAUGGUGUCUCCAAAUGGAGGAUACCCUGUCAUGUGCUUUUAGCUCCUCCCCUGCAAGUCAGUUGAAAAAUCCACAGCUCUGUCUUUAAGCAGAAUAUGCCACUGUGGAUAGUUAGGCCUUUAUGCAUUAGGGUUGAUGUCUUGUACCCCCCCAUAACCCUCCUCCUAUGACCUAGCCUCAUCCAACAUUGCCCUGUUUUAUGUGUCUGGCUACCCUGACCUGUGCGGCCUGUGCCUGUACAACCCCCCACUCUGUCACCUGGCCUUCAGGCCCAGGGAGCUCUGGCUGGCCCCCAACCCCUUUAAUGGCCUCAGAGUGCAGCAAGCCCACCCCUUGAACAUUAAGUGGUAGAUUUAAACUGGCAACAGUCUGUUGCAAUUUGGACUGGUUGUCUGAUCGGGUCCUGGGCUUUUCCAACAAUGAGGGCUCCCACAGAAGCCCCUGGUUUAAGCUGGAAGCUAAAAGGUUGGCUUUAAGAGAUACCCGGGAGUCUUGAUUACAGGUAAACCUGGGACCUAUUUAUGGGGACUGAAUGUUGCCAGUUUAAAUUUGUCACCUCAGAUUCAUGAAGGGUCAUGGCGUGGAUUUAUUUCUCCCUGGAGGCUAUGCAGGUGGCUGUUGACAGGCCCCAGCUCCAACCACCUGGAGGGCUCCUGGUGUCUCAGGCCAGCUGAAGGAAAUGAACUGCACAUGAGUGUGUUGCACAGUUUAGGGUAGCCAGGGACCUAAAACAUAGCCAUGGUCUUGAGAGGCUGGGUCACAAGAGAAUCUCUUGAAGAAAAGACAUAUGUAUAUAUGCAAACCUAACCUAAUUCACUCCCUGAAGGCAGAGCUUGAAUUAAUGGCCUGCAAUGGCGGGGCAGGUCUGGGAGUGCUGGCCAUGGUAUCAUCUAAUAAGAGGUUCCUUCAGUCUAAGGUUGCAGAAGUCCCUAACCUCUCAGACAUCAAGCCCAAAUGGGGACUGUUGCCAAUCACCGGCUGCUUCUUCCAGGUGAUUUUCAUGGUGGGCCCACAACAUAGCAGAAACUGUGCCAUUAUUUGGGAAAGGUCCAAGCUCCAUGGGUCUAAAGGAACUGAAUCCCUCAAGGAACCUGAAGGGGGUAAAUUGCGAAUACCCAGGCCACGCAGGUCAGGUAGAGAAAAAAUUUUCUUCCCCAUCAGUUGGCGUAGGGGUGGGAUAAAUUUCCCAGACUGGAUACUGUUUGCUUUGAGGCUGCUGCAGCUGAGAGAUGCCAACACAUCUGAUCAACAGCUGGCAGAAGUUACAGAUUUCGUUGUGUCUUUGAAGUGUAAAACAGCCCACAAUCUCUUGAAAAUGAAAAAGAAAAAAAUGGAAGGAAAGAGGCCUUGUUAAAAAUACAAAGUGCAAUUAGUACUCUUGCCCAAACUAUAGAUCACAGCUUCUAGCAGAUUACUGCCAGGGACAAAUACCAGUCUUAAAAGACCUCUCCAAAAAUAGCAAAUGACUUGAAUCAUCUGAGGAAAUUAAUAUUCCCCCUACGAUUCAAAAACUGUGAUUUUACAGGCUCUGGUUUAAGAUUCUGAUGUAAGAUCCUGAACUCACCUCCUCCGCAGACACACCAAAUAUACACCUAUUUCUAGAGUAAUUCCCUCUGAAGAACUGAGGGCUGAGAAGCUCCUGCACAAUCAAAGACUGAGAGAAGGGCAGGAAAGAUGGAGACACUGGAAGAAAGGAACUCUCACUUUGAUGCUAUAGAUUGCAGCAAGGAGGAAUAGAACCCAAGGAAUUAUGAACAGAUCUGUUUGCCUGGGGCACAGAAAAAAACAAAACAAAA